CUUAAAAUCACCGGUUCUCGUAAGAUCACGGAAGUUAAGCAAUGUCGACUCUGGUCAGUACCAAGACGGGUGACCGCAUGGGAAUAAUAGGUGAUGUAAG